CACCGCGGUUAUACGAGAGGCCCAAGUUGACAGACACCGGCGUAAAGCGUGGUUAAGGAAAACUUAAACUAAAGUCGAACACCUUCAAAGCAGUUAUACGCAUCCGGAGGUACGAAGCCCCACCACGAAAGUGGCUUUAUUACCCCUGACCCCACGAAAGCUAUGACA
rnacentral:rRNA from 1 species